rnacentral:pre_miRNA from 1 species
GACAUACUCCCUCCGUUCGGAAUUACUUGUCGUAGAAAUGGAUGUAUCUAGACAUUUUUUAGUUCUAGUUACAUCCAUUUCUGUGACAAGUAAUUCAGAACGGAGGGAGUAUAAG